rnacentral:rRNA from 2 species
UUUUUAUGGAGAGUUUGAUCCUGGCUCAGGAUGAACGCUGGCGGCGUGCCUAAUACAUGCAAGUCGAGCGAACAGACGAGGAGCUUGCUCCUCUGACGUUAGCGGCGGACGGGUGAGUAACACGUGGAUAACCUACCUAUAAGACUGGGAUAACUUCGGGAAACCGGAGCUAAUACCGGAUAAUAUAUUGAACCGCAUGGUUCAAUAGUGAAAGACGGUUUUGCUGUCACUUAUAGAUGGAUCCGCGCCGCAUUAGCUAGUUGGUAAGGUAACGGCUUACCAAGGCA